rnacentral:rRNA from 1 species
AGACUGCCGGCGUAAGCCGUGAGGAAGGUGGGGACGACGUCAAGUCAUCAUGGCCUUUAUGCCCAGGGCUACACACGUGCUACAAUGGCGCAUACAGAGGGUCGCGAAACCGCGAGGUGGAGCCAAUCCCAGAAAGUGCGUCCCAGUUCGGAUCGGAGUCUGGAACUCGACUCCGUGAAGGUGGAAUCGCUAGUAAUCGCGCAUCAGCCAUGGCGCGGUGAAUACGUUCCCGGACCUUGUACACACCGCCCGUCAAACCAUGGAAGUUGGGGGUGCCUGAAGACGGUGGCCAUAGAGGAACUGUCUAGGGUAAACUCAGUAACUGGGGUUAAGUCGUAACAAGGUAACC